UUUAAAUAAAACAAUUAAUCUGUUAAUUUAUUGUAAGGUGUCCUAGAUGGACCAGGCGGUUGGAGCCCGGAGGCCUUGUUGACCGGAUCUUCUUUCAAGCUGCUUUUGCAGACACAUCGUUGGCAACCACGGACUGGUUUUCAGUUGACGGAGAACGAAGACUUAAAAGAGGCCCUGGGAGUGCUAGUUAAGAGGAUCAGACUGGGAGGCCCCUCUAAGAUGUUCUUCAACGCUGCCAUCAAGUUGGCAAUGCAGUAUGUGGCCACCUUUGCCAGCACAGCCCCUGAUCUGCAAACUGCCGUCAACCUUCUGAAACUGCUUACAGCACUUGUGGAGAAAACUGAUGACAAGUGCUCCCGACGGAAGAGUUUCUGAAGCGAGAGUGGAAGGACUCUAAUGGGGGAGAGCCAAAGUUCAAUGAGUAGCUACAGUUCCUUAUCAAACGUUUGAUGGCAGAGGAAACCAUGGCUCUUGCAUCAAGUAUGGGCAUCAGUUUGUGAACUUUCCUUGCGAAACAGUAACUGUAUGCCGCUACUUGAUCACAUGUUCCGAGCACACAUGCAUGACAUCCACUGGCUCCUGAAGAACCUCCAACAGAGCAUGUGGGCUCUACAUCAUCUGUGUGGACACUCCAAGGUUCUUCUAUAAAGAAUGUAGCUGUCAACCGUGCUGUUGAUCAAGGAUAGCACUGUCAUUUUAGAGUAACUUCACAAGGUCACGUGAUAAUUCCCACAACACAACCAUCAAGGAAGACUUCCCCCAUCCUCUAACAUGGAGGUUUUACACAGUACCAGCUCUGGCAAGCAACAUAACAGGAGUGGAACUGAAAGCUUGGAUAUUCAUUAUAUUUGGCGUGCCGUCCUUGCUGUUGACUGUCUCCCACCUGCAUUGAGCAUCCACCUGCAUUGAGCAUCUACCUGCUUUGAGCAUCAACCUGCUAUGAACAUCCACCUGUUUUGAGCAUCAACUUGCUUUGAGCAUCAACAUGCUUAGAGCAUCCACCUGCUUUGAACAUUAACCUGCUUUGAGCAUCAACCUGCUUUGAACAUCAACCACAAGCAGUGUUUAUACAAUGUAUUUCGUAAUGAUUGUUAUGUUGAAUAAAAUGAAACGCUG